rnacentral:rRNA from 1 species
GAUGAACGCUAGCGGCAGGCUUAACACAUGCAAGUCGAGGGGUAUAGUUCUUCGGAACUUGAGACCGGCGCACGGGUGCGUAACGCGUAUGCAAUCUACCUUAUACAGGGGAAUAGCCCAGAGAAAUUUGGAUUAAUGCCCCAUAGUAUUAUUGAAUGGCAUCAUUUGAUAAUUAAAGUUCCAACGGUAUAAGAUGAGCAUGCGUCCCAUUAGUUAGUUGGUAAGGUAACGGCUUACCAAGACAAUGAUGGGUAGGGGUCCUGAGAGGGAGAUCCCCCACACUGGUACUGAGACACGGACCAGACUCCUACGGGAGGCAGCAGUGAGGAAUAUUGGUCAAUGGGCGAAAGCCUGACGGAGCAAUCUCGCGUGGGGGGAUGACGGCCUAUGGGUUGUAAACCUCUUUUUUCAGGGAGGAACAAAAUGACGUGUACCUGAAGAAUAAGCAUCGGCUAACUCCGUGCCAGCAGCCGC